rnacentral:lncRNA from 1 species
CCUCUAAUACUUAUAAUGGUUGUCACUUUUAAUCAUCCUUUCUCUUCUCCAGUAGCCUUGUCCUCUACAUCCAUCAUCAUGCUAAGGCAUGUGGAAUCCAGUGCAGUUAAAGAGACUAAAGAAUUGGAUUAGAUCGAUUUGCAGUUUCCAAGCAGGAACUUUACCCAAUGCUGCUGCAGCGUACUAUUAAGGAGAAGCCUCUCAUGUGGUCCCUGCUUCAGCACAUUUGCAGAAUAUUCUUGCCAAAAGCUGAUUUAGAGGAUAGAGCCUCCACAUCAUCUAUUUCUACAUCCCCAAGUGCCUAUGGAACGAUGUUUCAUGUAAUUAUUUCCCAAAGUAACAAAAGGAUAAGAGGAGAUGUUGGUGCAUGCCUAUAAUCCUAGUCUGGGAUACCCAGAGAAAACCUGUCUGUAAAAAAUAAAUAUAAGACCAUCCUCUGCUAGAUAUGCAGCUGGAGACAUAACCUCCAUGUGUAUUUUUUGGUUGGUGGUUUAGU